CUUCAUUCAUUCUUCUUGAUUUUCUCAUAUUUCUUUUCUCUAAACCUUUGACAUUUUACUAAAAUUACAGUAAAGAAUAUUUUGUAGUAAUUAUCCAACAAAUUUAUAUGCAAUUUUAAAUAUUAUCCCAAAUAUAAAUUAAAACAAAAAAAAGUAUGAAAAGUUUAAAUUUCUAAUAUAAUUUAUUUCCACAAAGACUAA
rnacentral:lncRNA from 1 species